rnacentral:rRNA from 1 species
CCUACGGGUUGCACCAGUGGGGAAUUUUCCGCAAUGGGCGAAAGCCCGACGGAGCAAUGCCGCGUGGAGGUAGAAGGCCCACGGGUCGCGAACUUCUUUUCCCGGAGAAGAAGCAAUGACGGUAUCUGGGGAAUAACCAUCGGCUAACUCUGUGCCAGCAGCCGCGGUAAUACAGAGGAUGCAAGCGUUAUCCGGAAUGAUUGGGCGUAAAGCGUCUGUAGGUGGCUUUUUAAGUCCGCCGUCAAAUCCCAGGGCUCAACCCUGGACAGGCGGUGGAAACUACCAAGCUGGAGUACGGUAGGGGCAGAGGGAAUUUCCGGUGGAGCGGUGAAAUGCGUAGAGAUCGGAAAGAACACCAACGGCGGAAGCACUCUGCUGGGCCGACACUGACACUGAGAGACGAAAGCUUGGGGAGCGAAUGGGAUUAGAUACCCCAGUAGUC